CCUUAGUAACGGCGAGUGAAGCGGCAAAAGCUCAGAUUUGAAAUCUGGUGUUUUCAUAGACAUCCGAAUUGUAAUCUGUAGAGGAGUUUUCGGAGGAUCACUAUGGUUAAAGUGCCUUGGAAAAGGACAUCAUAGAGGGUGAGAAUCCUGUUUAUGGCCUUAGUACUUCUUCAUUAUGAAUCUCCUUCAAUGAGUCGAGUUGUUUGGGAAUGCAGCUCUAAAUGGGUGGUAAAUUCCAUCUAAAGCUAAAUAUUGGCAAGAGACCGAUAGCGCACAAGUAGAGUGAUCGAAAGAUGAAAAGAACUCUGAACAGAGAGUUAAAGAGUACGUGAAAUUGUUGAAAGGGAAGCACUUGUGACCAGACAAAUUUGCAAUUAAUCAGCCAUCAGUUUUUUGGUGGUGCACUUAAUUGUGAGUGGGUUAGCAUCAGUUAUGAUAAUGGGAAAAAGACUGAAGAAAUGUAGCUCCUCUUUGAGGAGUGUUAUAGGCUUUGGUUUAAUACUGUUUAUUGUGACUGAGGAUUGCGCUUUUAGUAAGGAUGCUGACAUAAUGGUCAUAAGUGACCCGUCUUGAAACACGGACCAAGGAGUCUAACAUCUAUGCGAGUGUUUGGGUCAAAGCCCUUACGCGGAAUGAAAGUGAAUGAANGUGGGAACCAUUUGGUACACCAUCGACCGAUCCUGAUGUUUUCGAAUGGAUUUGAGUAGGAGCAUAGCUGUUGGGACCCGAAAGAUGGUGAACUAUGCC
rnacentral:rRNA from 1 species